ACGAGUGGCGGACGGGUGAGUAACACGUAGGUAACCUGCCCAGAAGCGGGGGACAACAUUUGGAAACAGAUGCUAAUACCGCAUAACAGCGUUGUUCGCAUGAACAACGCUUAAAAGAUGGCUUCUCGCUAUCACUUCUGGAUGGACCUGCGGUGCAUUAGCUUGUUGGUGGGGUAACGGCCUACCAAGGCGAUGAUGCAUAGCCGAGUUGAGAGACUGAUCGGCCACAAUGGGACUGAGACACGGCCCAUACUCCUACGGGAGGCAGCAGUAGGGAAUCUUCCACAAUGGGCGCAAGCCUGAUGGAGCAACACCGCGUGAGUGAAGAAGGGUUUCGGCUCGUAAAGCUCUGUUGUUAAAGAAGAACACGUAUGAGAGUAACUGUUCAUACGUUGACGGUAUUUAACCAGAAAGUCACGGCUAACUACGUGCCAGCAGCCGCGGUAAUACGUAGGUGGCAAGCGUUAUCCGGAUUUAUUGGGCGUAAAGAGAGUGCAGGCGGUUUUCUAAGUCUGAUGUGAAAGCCUUCGGCUUAACCGGAGAAGUGCAUCGGAAACUGGAUAACUUGAGUGCAGAAGAGGGUAGUGGAACUCCAUGUGUAGCGGUGGAAUGCGUAGAUAUAUGGAAGAACACCAGUGGCGAAGGCGGCUACCUGGUCUGCAACUGACGCUGAGACUCGAAAGCAUGGGUAGCGAACAGGAUUAGAUACCCUGGUAGUCCAUGCCGUAAACGAUGAGUGCUAGGUGUUGGAGGGUUUCCGCCCUUCAGUGCCGGAGCUAACGCAUUAAGCACUCCGCCUGGGGAGUACGACCGCAAGGUUGAAACUCAAAGGAAUUGACGGGGGCCCGCACAAGCGGUGGAGCAUGUGGUUUAAUUCGAAGCUACGCGAAGAACCUUACCAGGUCUUGACAUCUUGCGCCAACCCUAGAGAUAGGGCGUUUCCUUCGGGAACGCAAUGACAGGUGGUGCAUGGUCGUCGUCAGCUCGUGUCGUGAGAUGUUGGGUUAAGUCCCGCAACGAGCGCAACCCUUGUUACUAGUUGCCAGCAUUAAGUUGGGCACUCUAGUGAGACUGCCGGUGACAAACCGGAGGAAGGUGGGGACGACGUCAGAUCAUCAUGCCCCUUAUGACCUGGGCUACACACGUGCUACAAUGGACGGUACAACGAGUCGCGAACUCGCGAGGGCAAGCAAAUCUCUUAAAACCGUUCUCAGUUCGGACUGCAGGCUGCAACUCGCCUGCACGAAGUCGGAAUCGCUAGUAAUCGCGGAUCAGCAUGCCGCGGUGAAUACGUUCCCGGGCCUUGUACACACCGCCCGUCACACCAUGAGAGUUUGUAACACCCAAAGUCGGUGGGGUAACCUUUUAGGAGCCAGCCGCCUAAGGUG
rnacentral:rRNA from 1 species